rnacentral:rRNA from 1 species
UACGUAUGGUGCAAGCGUUAUCCGGAUUUACUGGGUGUAAAGGGAGCGCAGGCGGCAUGGCAAGCCUGAUGUGAAAGCCCGCGGCCCAACCGCGGGACUGCAUUGGGAACUACCGGGCUGGAGUGCCGGAGAGGUAGGCGGAAUUCCUAGUGUAGCGGUGAAAUGCGUAGAUAUUAGGAGGAACACCAGUGGCGAAGGCGGCCUACUGGACGGUGACUGACGCUGAGGCUCGAAAGCGUGGGGAGCAAACAGG